AUUGAACGCUGGCGGCAUGCCUUACACAUGCAAGUCGAACGGUAACAGGUCUUCGGAUGCUGACGAGUGGCGAACGGGAGAGUAAUACAUCGGAACGUGCCCGAUCGUGGGGGAUAACGAAGCGAAAGCUUUGCUAAUACCGCAUACGAUCUACGGAUGAAAGCGGGGGAUCUUCGGACCUCGCGCGGACGGAGCGGCCGAUGGCAGAUUAGGUAGUUGGUGGGAUAAAAGCUUACCAAGCCGACGAUCUGUAGCUGGUCUGAGAGGAUGAUCAGCCACACUGGGACUGAGACACGGCCCAGACUCCUACGGGAGGCAGCAGUGGGGAAUUUUGGACAAUGGGCGCAAGCCUGAUCCAGCCAUGCCGCGUGCAGGAUGAAGGCCUUCGGGUUGUAAACUGCUUUUGUACGGAACGAAAAGGUGCCUUCUAAUAAAGGGCGCUCAUGACGGUACCGUAAGAAUAAGCACCGGCUAACUACGUG
rnacentral:rRNA from 1 species